GAUGAACGCUGGCGGCGUGCCUAAUACAUGCAAGUCGAGCGAACAGACGAGGAGCUUGCUCCUCUGACGUUAGCGGCGGACGGGUGAGUAACACGUGGAUAACCUACCUAUAAGACUGGGAUAACUUCGGGAAACCGGAGCUAAUACCGGAUAACAUGUUGAACCGCAUGGUUCAACAGUGAAAGACGGUCUUGCUGUCACUUAUAGCUGGAUCCGCGCCGCAUUAGCUAGUUGGUAAGGUAACGGCUUACCAAGGCAACGAGGCGUAGCCGACCUGAGAGGGUGAUCGGCCACACUGGAACUGAGACACGGUCCAGACUCCUACGGGAGGCAGCAGUAGGGAAUCUUCCGCAAUGGGCGAAAGCCUGACGGAGCAACGCCGCGUGAGUGAAGAAGGUCUUCGGAUCGUAAAACUCUGUUAUUAGGGAAGAACAAAUGUGUAAGUAACUAUGCACGUCUUGACGGUACCUAAUCAGAAAGCCACGGCUAACUACGUG
rnacentral:rRNA from 1 species